CCUCAUGGAGGGGUAGGAUAAGGGGGUGUGUUGAGGAGUCUAUGGGAGGGGUAGGAAGGGGGGUAGGGGAGAUAGGGGGUGUUGAGGACUCUAUGGGCUGGAAAUGGGGCUGGAGGAGUCAAUGGAGGAACCAACAGCUCGACAAGGUGAUGGGGGGAUCCCAAAGGAGCUCGAUGGAUGGAGACGGUGUUGGAGGACCCAAUAAUGGCGUUAAAGGUGAAGGAUGAGGCUCCAGAGCAACUCAAUACCAUAGAGAUGGUGUUGGAGGACUCAAAAGUGCCAUUAAAAGUAAAGGAUGAGGAUCCAGAGCAACUCAAUGUGAUGGAGACGGUGUUGGAGGACUCGUCUAUGGUAUUAAAGAUAAAGGAGGAGGAUCCAGAGCAACUCGAUACCAUAGAGAUGGUGUUGGAGGACUCGUCUAUGGUAUUAAAGGUGAAGGAGGAGGCUCUAGAACCCCUUAAUGUGAUGGAGACGGUGUUGGAGGACUCAAAAGUGCCAUUAGAAGUAAAGGAAGAGGCUCCAAAUGACAUUAAUGUGAUGGAGACGGUGUUGGAGGACUCGUCUAUGGUAUUAAGGGUGAAAGAGGAGCCUUUAGAACACCAGGAAGUGAUGGAGACGGUGUUGGAGGACUCGUCUAUGGCACUGAGGGGGAUAGAGCGGCCCUCUAUGUCAAUGGAGACGGUGUUGGAGGACUCGUCUAUGGCACUGAGGGGGAUAGAGCGGCCCUCUAUGUCAAUGGAGACGGUGUUGGAGGACUCAAAGGUGCCAUUAAAGAUAAAGGAGGAGGAUCCAGAGCAGCUCGAUACCAUAGAGAUGGUGUUGGAGGACUCAUCUAUGGUAUUGAGUGGGAUAGAGCGGCCUCCCAAGGUGU
rnacentral:lncRNA from 1 species